UGGCAUACGGCUCAGUAACACGUAGUCAACAUGCCCAAAGGACGUGGAUAACCUCGGGAAACUGAGGAUAAACCGCGAUAGGUCAUGAUAUCUGGAAUGAUUCAUGGCUCAAAUCUAUAUGGCCUUUGGAUUGGACUGCGUCCGAUCAGGCUGUUGGUGAGGUAAUGGCCCACCAAACCUGUAACCGGUACGGGCUUUGAGAGGAGGAGCCCGGAGAUGGGCACUGAGACAAGGGCCCAGGCCCUAUGGGGCGCAGCAGGCGCGAAACCUCUGCAAUAGGCGAAAGCUUGACAGGGUUACUCUGAGUGAUCUCCGAUAAGGAGAUCUUUUGGCAUCUCUAAAAAUGAUGCAGAAUAAGGGGUGGGCAAGUCUGGUGUCAGCCGCCGCGGUAAUACCAGCACCCCGAGUGGUCGGGACGAUUAUUGGGCCUAAAGCAUCCGUAGCCGGUUCUGCAAGUCUUCCGUUAAAUCCAGCUGCUCAACAGAUGGGCUGCGGGAGAUACUACAGAGCUAGGAGGCGGGAGAGGCAAGCGGUACUCAGUGGGUAGGGGUAAAAUCCGUUGAUCCAUUGAAGACCACCAGUGGCGAAGGCGGCUUGCCAGAACGCGCUCGACGGUGAGGGAUGAAAGCUGGGGGAGCAAACCGGAUUAGAUACCCGGGUAGUCCCAGCUGUAAACGAUGCA
rnacentral:rRNA from 1 species